rnacentral:rRNA from 1 species
UACGAAGGGGGGCUAGCGUUGCUCGGAAUCACUGGGCGUAAAGGGUGCGUAGGCGGGUCUUUAAGUCAGGGGUGAAAUCCUGGAGCUCAACUCCAGAACUGCCUUUGAUACUGCUGGUCUUGAGUCAGGGAGAGGUUGAUGGAAUUCCAGGUGUAGCGGUGAAAUGCGUAGAUAUCUGGAAGAACACCGGUGGCGAAGGCGGUCAACUGGCCCUGAACUGACGCUCAGGCACGAAAGCGUGGGGAUCAAACAGG